AACCGUGGAGCAGCGAAAGAGUGAAAAACCGGGCCGCCUCUGCCUACACAGUGACAUCAGACGUCACCACAAGCUUCGCCUGCAUAGCUGAGGGCAGAAAAGGUCUGCCUGCAUUGCUUUGACAUACCAGUGAGCAGCACCUCCUCCUCCAGAGUGAUUGCACUCAUUCCACUGGAAGCUGCACUCCUCUGCGAGCUCUGUCAUUACUACCAUCUAAGCAGUAUAAUUACCAGCCUCGAUGUGUGUUUGCGGUGCACGAUCCAAGCCUGCAUCAUGCUGAGCAAGCCGGAGUGGGUGAGCAGAGCGCGCGCGCGAGAGAGAGCGUGAAUGGGAGAGCCAGAACAGGGGAGGUACAUCCCUGAGCUAACUAAUUACUGUAUGU
rnacentral:lncRNA from 1 species